AUGUCAAUUCCAGCGCCGCUAGAAGAUGAGGACCUCCUCCAGGAGAUUUUCCUCCGGCUCCCACCGCUGCCGUCAAUCCUCUCCCGCGCCUCCCUCGUAUGCACGCGCUGGCGCCGCAUCCUCUCCGAUCCCCGCUUCCUCCGCCGUUUGAGCAGACACCACCCGGAACCUCCUCUGUUGGGCUUCUUGAAAGGGUCUGGCCUCAGAUAUUCCGCCUUCACUCCCAUCUUGGACCCGCCCGACCGCAUCCCCGCCGAACGCUUCUCUGUUCGGUUUCUUCACAGCUUCACGAAACCUCCUCCGUUGGGUUUCUCCAAAGGGUCUCUCAUCUUCAAUCCCGUCUUCACUCCCGUCUUGGACCCGCCUAAUCGCAUCCCGGCCCAACGCUUGUUUGUGCCCGAGCACGGGCUGGAUUGGGAAUUACUUGGCUGCCGCCAUGGCCUCGCACUCAUGCUCAGCGAGUCUCUGUGUGAGGUCUUCGUGUGGGAUCCCCUCAACGGCCAGCAGCACCGCGUGGCUUUUCCAUCAGAGCUCCGUGACACCAAAAGGGAGAGUUUCUGUAGGUGCAGUGCCACGGUGAUGUGUGCUGACGAUCAAGAUGGGAACGUGCACCACGAUUGCUUCUUGAGCCCGGCCUUCAAGUUGGUCUUAAUCUGCACCAGUAGAGACUUGAAGACAACAUUCGCUUGUGUCUAUGAAUCGGCGUCGGGUGUAUGGGGGACUAUUGUCUCAACGUCGACUACAGAUAUGGUUCUGAAACUAAGGCCCGGCAUCCUCAUCGGGGAAACAGUUUACUGGUUGUUUCAUGGACGCGAAAUCCUUGCAUUUGAUACUGAAAGGCAGGCUCUUAGUGUCAUCGAGAUGCCGACAGAGGCCCAACAUGUCAAUAACUGGUCCUUUCAGCUCCUACGGACAGAUGACGAUAGUGUUCUUGGACUCGCCGUUAUGUCGAAACCGGGCAUUCAUAUAUGGGAAGGCAUUCAUAUAUGGGAGAGGAAACUGAACUCUGAUGGUCUUGCCGGAUGGGUGCUUCUGCAGAAAAUCAAUCAAUUGGAGGGGAUCUUUUCUUGCGCCUUCAGAAAUGCAGAGAUGGUGGGGUAUGACGAGGAGUUAAAUGUGAUGAUUCUGUCUACGUACAGUGGCGACUUCAUGCUCCACCUUAAGUCGAUGCAGAUCAGAUUAAUUUCUAAAACGGAUGGGUGGACUCAUACGGUUUACUUUCCCUACAGAAAUUUCUACACUGCAGGUAAUACCUCUGUACCUCAUUUGUAA
rnacentral:rRNA from 1 species